rnacentral:rRNA from 1 species
GAUGAACGCUAGCUACAGGCUUAACACAUGCAAGUCGAGGGACCGGCGCACGGGUGAGUAACGCGUAUCCAACCUUCCCAUUACUGUGGGAUAACCUGCCGAAAGGCAGACUCAUACCGCAUAGUAAUGGAUGGGGAUGCGUCUGAUUAGCUUGGUGGCGGGGUAACGGCCCACCAAGGCGACGAUCAGUAGGGGUUAGGAGAGGAAGGGCCCCCACAUGGGAACUGAGGCACGGUCCAAACUCCGACGGGAGGGAGCAGUAUGGAAGAUUGGUGAAGGGAGGUAAGUCUGAACCAGCCAAGUAGCGGGAAGGAUGACGGCCUAGGGGAUGUAAACUGCUUUUGUAUGGGGAGAGGUACCAUACGAAUAAGGACCGGCUAAUUCCGUGCCAGCAGCCGCGGUAAUAC